GCUUUUUUUUCACUCAUGGUCUGGUCUGGUCAGUGAUUCGUACAUGUGUAUUUGCUUUUGUGUAUUGCAAAGUGAAAUGAAAGAAAUAGAGCAGAGAUUUAAUUUUUAUUCUAUUUGCAUCAUGCUUGAGAUGUCGGUUUUAACACCAGCAGAUGGUUUUUUAAGAUCAGCUUCAUGCGUGAUCACGGUUGUCAGUCUCAUAACUCGUAUGGCCUUUCAUUUUGACACUGAUCUGUUGCCCUUUGAACGUCCUGCCGGAUGGACAUAGACACAGGAGAGGUCAGGUCACAUGACUGGUCUGUUCGUUAAGUAUCCUCUGGUGUUUCAUGUCAGUUUGUGUCAUGGCUAAUUAUCAUGGAAAUCCAACUCUGAUCAAGAACAGCAGCCCUAAUGAAAGAGACCGAAACCCUCUGGAUCUAAACCCUUGGUGGGCCAGACAGACUCUGUGCAGGGCGAGAACAAAGUGAGAGAGAUUAUUAACAGAGCAAGUGUGUCUCGGGCAUAAGCUGACACAUGCAGAAUACUCUCCCCGAGGGCUAUUAGAGCUCUGGGUCAGCCUGUGCUUUUCAGACAUGAAACACGGCCCUUGACUAAAGAGGAAAAUCUUAGCAUUCUGUUUUACUGACAGCCAAGCGUAGCAUUCCCAGCAUCUGGUUUAGAGCGUAGCUUCACAUCAUUUAAACUGCAUUUAGGCCACUUGAUAUUUGGGAAAAUAGUGCACAGUUUGAAAACGUAUCAUAAUAUACAUUGAAUACUGCCAGCAAAUAAUAGUGUUUCAACUGUUGGUUUAUAUCCCAGUGCUUUUGAUUGGCAGCUCUGGCUUGGGUUUUGGCAGAAGAGUUUAAUUUUAGCAAUGCUUUAGAGCACAGUCUCACCAGAUUCUGCAGGGGUGAGAAGAUGAUUGAAAUGAAAUUUUUGGAGGGUGAUGAAGAGGUAAAGCAGCAUUUGGUAGCCUGCGGACACCAAGUGACAGGCCGUCCUGGCACGUUGUCGUAUCCAGAAACUGUGACACUCACUUCGGACAGGAGCAGGGAUAUCGGCUGACAUCUCCACGUCUGCUGUGUCACUCCGUCUUAAAUCUCCAGGGAGAGAUCCUCUACUUUACCUUCCAGCCGUUGGCUCCCUGUCCCACACAAAGGGGGGCUAGAAAUGUGUGCUUUUGUAGAAUACAGAGAGGAAGGGAGGGAAGACAAAAGGUCAAGAAACUGAGAUGAGUGCAUGGCUUAACAAUAAGGAUGGUUUGAUGGCCCAAUGCUGGUUGAUUGAACUGUGGCAAGUCAGGUUAGUGCUGUGCUGUCACGGUUUCUACUGAUUGAUGAACAUGCAUAUGUUUUCUGUGGCUUGCAAGCGGAAACAUUUGGUUUUCUCCGAACGUUAAAAAUUCUGCUAAUUUAAAUAUGUUGCCACAGUAACAUCUUGGCUGGCUCACACAGAUGAGGUUUGCGAUAUUGAACGCAUUAGCUAUAAUGGAAAAUUUUCAAAAUAAUAAAAAGAAAUAUUGUUUGGCACUCAAUAUAAUUGUUAAUAUGAUAAUACAAAUAGAAUGCAAUCUAAUACAUUAUAUAUACCAUUUGUACAUAAUAUAAUAGUACAUAAAAGUAUUAAUACAUUGGAAUAAAUGUAUGUAUGACAUUGUUGGCAGGACAAGUGAAAGUCCCGCUUAGGCCAGCAGAAAUGUUCCUUGUUAUGGAGCCCUCUGAAUGAGAUGUGGAGAAAGGAUAGAAGAGGCAGUAAUAGAGGAGGAGAACGGGAGAAAGAGCCAUGUGCAAAAGCAAGGAGAGUUCAUUUAUAGUGCAGUGGGGCUGUGGGUCGGGUCCCCGGUCUGCAGUCAGGGAUCUUCGUAGAAGCCCCGCAUGUGCUAUAGUAAUUAUACUGUAGCUCCUGAGACCAACAAUGGGAGUCUCUUUCUUUUCUAUCGCUUUCCCCCAGCACCCUCCUGCCAUAAAUAUCAUCUCUGCCAUGCAACGUUGGACAGUUUGUGGGGGACAGAAUAGUUCCUGAAUAACUUAUAAUGUAUAGUUUUGGUGUAAUUGCGAUUCAUACCACAAAUAUGCACUGAGAUUUUUUUUUUUUGGAACUUUAAAUGUUUAAAAAAAAAAUUAAAAGCAAACAUUCUAUUUUUUUUUAUGCCUUUUUAUUUUUUCUUGUUUUUAUUUUUUUAGCUACACUAUUUUAUUGUUCACCAAGCCUGUGUUGCUAUUUCCCAGUGUUUAUUGUUGCACAGCUGUGCGCAAAUUAAAACAACAACAGAAAAAGAAAAAAAGUUCACCAUGAAGCCACCGAUUGAACAGCGGAAAAAAGCAAAUGUGGUCUUAUGAACUGCACAAUUUUCAAAGUAUCUAUUAAAGUAUUGUCACAGUGACGAUACAAACACCCAAACUGUGUGCUGUAUUCUAGCAAAUGUUUGAAAACUAUAAGAGGAUUGCUGAGGUUCUGAGUUUCUCCUCUUACUGGAAAGAUCUAAAUGCAUUACUAUCUAUUAGUAUUGACGUUAAGAGGCGGACAAAACAGUGGUCUGGAACUGGGAUGAAUGGGCCGGAUGUAUUGAAUCUAGUGGAGAUUGGCAAGCUUUGCUGUGUCUGGGGCUGAGGUGGCAAUCUUAAGCCUUGCAGUGUUGGAUCUCUUGUGCUUUAAUCUCUUCAGUGUCUUUUUUGGUGAUCGAGAUGGAAAGCAUUGUGGAGAGAAGAGUGGAGCCAUGCAGUACACUGAAAGCUGAAAUUCGCUGAAGCUUCAGACCAGGCCUCAUUGACGUCGUUGUGCAUAAUGAGGAGAUUGGCAGAUGUUUUAAUGUUCCUGUGGCUUUGAGGUGUGAGCAGAUGACAGAGACACUGCUUUCAACAGCGAUAGAGAUGCAAGAUGUACUGAUCUCAAUCUCGCUGAAGAAAAUAUCUCUGAGGUUUGGCCUUUAUAGCAGGCCACAGACAGUGGGGACGGUCCAGGGAGCUGUUUUACAUGCACAUUGACUGUGAAAUCACAGUGUAUUAACCCCAUUCCUUACUCUACCUCUUCCAGCCUCGUCACAUCCAAAAACGAAAGUUUUUUUUAAUGCUCCGAGAGCCCUUCAAGAGAGCUAAUUCCCCUCUAAAAAAACGUAAUCUACUGCACUUUCCCACAAGUGGCAGCCGUCUGUUUAAAUCUCCUUUCUCAGCUUACUCCGUUUAAAGCUUCUUAACAGCUAGGGAACAUUCAGGGAAUUUUUUGUUUUCCACAAAUGUGCAAAAACCUUCUUCCCAGCUUACAACUCUAUGCCUCUUGCACCUGUAAACCAGUGUAGGCGUUAGCACCAUGGUUUUUGGAAUGGCUUUACUUCCUUAAAGCACAGGAUGUUUACCACCAUCAAUAAAUAACAAUCCUUAAUUUAUUUUGGACCACAAGCUACUAUGUUCUCCAGGCAGAUGUUCCACAACACUCACUAUGGAUAAACGCAUUACCAUCUGCUGUGAGUAAACAGAAUAGGGUCAACAUUUAACAGUACAGGGGUCGACAGGAACUUCACAGGAUGAUGCUUGGACAGAAAGCUGUGCUGAAACUGACUGAAUGUAGUUGCUAAUGCAGCAGCGGAUAUGAUGGAAAAGGUCAGCUUUAUCUCAAGACGUUGUCUGAGCCGGUGAUGAAAAGCUGAAGUGAAAGUGCAGACCUUGAUGGAAACGGAGCUGUGGAUUUGAAACCGCUGGGUUGAAGAACCGAGAGACCGGCCUGCCUUGUUUCCUCUGACCUCGAGAGGAACUAAUUAUAGCUUGGCUUGUUUGGUGGAACUCAAUUGCUCAUUCUCCAAUGGAUUCUGGUCAGAAAGACAUUUCAGUAUGCAACAGAUUAUUUCUCUCAUCCAAAGUAAUAAUUGCAUUAUCUCUCAGGCUCUCGCUGUGUUUAUAUAUAUAUAUUGGAAAUACCAUUUUGUUUUUUACUGUCAUGGACUAUAUCUUGUCAAAAUAUGACAUUUAAUAAGUGUGAUUAAAGAAAUAAUUUGUAUAAUUUCAUUACAAUAAUUUUCAUGAAAGUUGCACAAUAUAAUUUUUAUAUUGUGAGUUUUUUUUUUUCUUUAAAUGUUUGGAGUUGGUAAAAAUAAGAAAUGCCUGCGUUUAGUUGCUCAUAAAUGCACUCAAAAUGGUAAUAUUGUCCAUAUUAUUACAAUGUCAAAUAAAUGUUUUAUAUUGUAAUGUU